UGUGUAGGCGGUUUGAUAAGUUGGAUGUGAAAGCUCCUGACUUAACUGGGAGAGGUCGUUCAAAACUAUCAGACUUGAGAGUGGUAGAGGGAGGUGGAAUUCCGGGUGUAGUGGUGAAAUGCGUAGAUAUCCGGAGGAACACCAGUGGCGAAAGCGGCCUCCUGGCCCAUUUCUGACGCUCAGACACGAAAGCUAAGGUAGCAAACGG
rnacentral:rRNA from 1 species